ensembl:snoRNA
AGGGCAUGUUCAAAACAGGAAGCCUGGAGAAUGGUUUCUCUGUUUACAACACAGCAAACAGGAGUCUGGGGGUCACUGUGAGGAGGGACACUACAUGUGUGGCCUGCCUGGGAACAAAUGCUUUACAUGU